UCAAGUAAUUAAGUGCAUGUGGUGGAUGCCUUGGCAGUCAGAGGCGAUGAAAGACGUGAUAGCCUGCGAAAAGCUCCGGGGAGGCGGCAAAUAUCCUUUGAUCCGGAGAUGUCUGAAUGGGGGAACCCACCUACUUUAAGGUAGGUAUUGCAACAUGAAUACAUAGUGUUGCAAGGCGAACGAGGGGAAGUGAAACAUCUCAGUACCCUUAGGAAAAGAAAUCAAUUGAGAUUCCCUCAGUAGCGGCGAGCGAACGGGGAUCAGCCCAUUAAGUUAUGUGUGUUUUAGUGGAACGCUCUGGGAAGUGCGAACGUAGAGGGUGAUAUUCCCGUACACGAAAGGGCACACAUAAUGAUGACGAGUAGGGCGAGGCACGUGAAACCUUGUCUGAAUAUGGGGGGACCAUCCUCCAAGGCUAAAUACUCCUGACUGACCGAUAGUGAACCAGUACCGUGAGGGAAAGGCGAAAAGAACCCCUGUGAGGGGAGUGAAAUAGAUCCUGAAACCGCAUGCAUACAAGCAGUGGGAGCACCUUCGUGGUGUGACUGCGUACCUUUUGUAUAAUGGGUCAGCGACUUAUAUUCAGUAGCGAGGUUAACCGUAUAGGGGAGCCGUAGAGAAAUCGAGUCUUAAUAGGGCGUUUAGUUGCUGGGUAUAGACCCGAAACCAGGCGAUCUAUCCAUGAGCAGGUUGAAGGUUGGGUAACACUAACUGGAGGACCGAACCCACUGUCGUUGAAAAGCCAGGGGAUGACUUGUGGAUAGGGGUGAAAGGCUAAUCAAGCCUGGUGAUAGCUGGUUCUCCCCGAAAGCUAUUUAGGUAGCGCCUCGGACGAAUACCAUAGGGGGUAGAGCACUGUUUCGGCUAGGGGGUCAUCCCGACUUACCAAACCGAUGCAAACUCCGAAUACCUAUGAGUACUAUCCGGGAGACAGACUGCGGGUGCUAACGUCCGUAGUCAAGAGGAAAACAAUCCAGACCGCCAGCUAAGGCCCCAAAAUCAUAGUUAAGUGGGAAACGAUGUGGGAAGGCAUAGACAGCUAGGAGGUUGGCUUAGAAGCAGCCACCCUUUAAAGAAAGCGUAAUAGCUCACUAGUCGAGUCGGCCUGCGCGGAAGAUGUAACGGGGCUAAAACUAUGUGCCGAAGCUGCGGAUGUAUACUUUGUAUACGUGGUAGGGGAGCGUUCUGUAAGCCGAUGAAGGUGUGUUGAGAAGCAUGCUGGAGGUAUCAGAAGUGCGAAUGCUGACGUGAGUAACGACAAAACGGGUGAAAAACCCGUUCGCCGAAAGACCAAGGGUUCCAGUCCAACGUUAAUCGGGGCUGGGUGAGUCGACCCCUAAGGCGAGGCCGAAAGGCGUAGUCGAUGGGAAAAUGGUUAAUAUUCCAUUACUUCUGUGUAAUGCGAUGAGAGGACGGAGAAGGCUAAAUCAGCCUGGCGUUGGUUGUCCAGGUGAAAGGAUGUAGGCAUGUAUCUUAGGCAAAUCCGGGGUACUCUAUGCUGAGAUCUGAUAGCAAGCUGUACUUGUACAGCGAAGUGGUUGAUGCCAUGCUUCCAGGAAAAGUCUCUAAGCUUCAGUUACACAGGAAUCGUACCCGAAACCGACACAGGUGGUCAGGUCGAGUAGACCAAGGCGCUUGAGAGAACUCUGCUGAAGGAACUAGGCAAAAUGGUACCGUAACUUCGGGAGAAGGUACGCUGUUGUUGGUGAUGGAACUCGCUUCCUGAGCUGACGACAGCCGCAGAAACCAGGCCGCUGCAACUGUUUAUUAAAAACAUAGCACUCUGCAAACACGAAAGUGGACGUAUAGGGUGUGAUGCCUGCCCGGUGCUGGAAGGUUAAUUGAUGGGGUUAGCGUAAGCGAAGCUCUUGAUCGAAGCCCCAGUAAACGGCGGCCGUAACUAUAACGGUCCUAAGGUAGCGAAAUUCCUUGUCGGGUAAGUUCCGACCUGCACGAAUGGCAUAAUGAUGGCGGCGCUGUCUCCAGCAGAGGCUCAGUGAAAUCGAAAUCGCUGUGAAGAUGCAGUGUACCCGCGGCUAGACGGAAAGACCCCGUGAACCUUUACUGCAGCUUGACACUGAACUUUGACCUUACUUGUGUAGGAUAGGUGGGAGGCUUUGAAGCUGGAACGCUAGUUCCAGUGGAGCCGUCCUUGAAAUACCACCCUGGUAAUGUUGAGGUUCUAACUCUGUCCCGUGAUCCGGGACGAGGACCGUGUCUGGUGGGUAGUUUGACUGGGGCGGUCUCCUCCUAAAGAGUAACGGAGGAGUACGAAGGUGCGCUCAGCGUGGUCGGAAAUCACGCGUAGAGUAUAAAGGCAAAAGCGCGCUUAACUGCGAGACCCACAAGUCGAGCAGGUACGAAAGUAGGUCUUAGUGAUCCGGUGGUUCUGUAUGGAAGGGCCAUCGCUCAACGGAUAAAAGGUACUCUGGGGAUAACAGGCUGAUACCGCCCAAGAGUUCAUAUCGACGGCGGUGUUUGGCACCUCGAUGUCGGCUCAUCUCAUCCUGGGGCUGAAGCAGGUCCCAAGGGUAUGGCUGUUCGCCAUUUAAAGAGGUACGCGAGCUGGGUUUAGAACGUCGUGAGACAGUUCGGUCCCUAUCUACCGUGGGCGCUGGAAAUUUGAGAGGAUCUGCUCCUAGUACGAGAGGACCAGAGUGGACGAACCUCUGGUGUACCGGUUGUGACGCCAGUCGCAUCGCCGGGUAGCUAUGUUCGGAAGGGAUAACCGCUGAAAGCAUCUAAGCGGGAAGCCUACCUCAAGAUAAGAUUUCCCUAGGACUUUAUGUCCUCUAAAGAGCCGUUCGAGACUAGGACGUUGAUAGGUUGGAUGUGGAAGCAUAGUGAUAUGUGAAGCUGACCAAUACUAAUUGCU
rnacentral:rRNA from 2 species